rnacentral:rRNA from 1 species
AGCGAACGCUGGCGGCAGGCCUAACACAUGCAAGUCGAACGAAGCCUUCGGGCUUAGUGGCGGACGGGUGAGUAACACGUGGGAACGUACCCUUUGGUUCGGAAUAACGCAGAGAAAUUUGCGCUAAUACCGAAUGAGCCCUUCGGGGGAAAGAUUUAUCGCCGAAAGAUAGGCCCGCGUUGGAUUAGGUAGUUGGUGUGGUAAAGGCGCACCAAGCCUACGAUCCAUAGCUGGUCUGAGAGGAUGAUCAGCCACACUGGGACUGAGACACGGCCCAGACUCCUACGGGAGGCAGCAGUGGGGAAUCUUGCGCAAUGGGCGAAAGCCUGACGCAGCCAUGCCGCGUGAAUGAUGAAGGUCUUAGGAUUGUAAAAUUCUUUUACCAGGGACGAUAAUGACGGUACCUGGAGAAAAAGCCCCGGCUAACUUCGUGCCAGCCGCCGCAGUAACAC